AUGCCGCGUGAGUGAUGAAGGCCUUAGGGUCGUAAAGCUCUUUCGCCAGAGAUGAUAAUGACAGUAUCUGGUAAAGAAACCCCGGCUAACUCCGUGCCAGCAGCCGCGGUAAUACGGAGGGGGUUAGCGUUGUUCGGAAUUACUGGGCGUAAAGCGCACGUAGGCGGAUCAGAAAGUAUGAGGUGAAAUCCCAGGGCUCAACCCUGGAACUGCCUUGUAAACUCCUGGUCUUGAGUUCGAGAGAGGUGAGUGGAAUUCCGAGUGUAGAGGUGAAAUUCGUAGAUAUUCGGAGGAACACCAGUGGCGAAGGCGGCUCACUGGCUCGAUACUGACGCUGAGGUGCGAAAGUGUGGGGAGCAAACAGGAUUAGAUACCCUGGUAGUCCACACCGUAAACGAUGAAUGCCAGACGUCAGCAAGCAUGCUUGUUGGUGUCACACCUAACGGAUUAAGCAUUCCGCCUGGGGAGUACGGUCGC
rnacentral:rRNA from 1 species